GCAAUACAUAGGCAUGUAUGGUACAUAUAUUAACACACACAUAUUAACCAUUUAUUAAAUGAUAUGAGAAACACGGUAUUAAUAAAUAAGACAUAUGUACAAACUAUCACUUGAACAAACAUUUGGUCAGGUAUAUGAAUACAAAGACUAUGACUUUCCUGUGAUCAGCAUACUCAGUCAAUAGCGAGUGAAGUGCGCAUGCGUAGGUUAGUUGCUUAUGUUUGAGUUAAUCAUAGGUGAAUGCUAAGACAUGAAUGCUCUCUUUAGGAGGUGAGCAUUAUUAGCAAUAUACAGG